rnacentral:rRNA from 1 species
GACGAACGCUGGCGGCGUGCUUAACACAUGCAAGUCGAACGAAGUGGAGAACGGGUGAGUAACGCGUAAUCAACCUGCCCUUCAGUGGGGGAUAACAGGUGGAAACGAAUGCUAAUACCGCAUACUGAAGGCGGGGAUUGCGUCUGAUUAGCUAGGUGGAGGGGUAACGGCCCACCAAGGCGAUGAUCAGUAGCCGGUCGUAGAGGAUGAACGGCCACAGUGGGACGGAGACAGGGCCCAGACUCCUACGGGAGGCAGCAGGGGGGAAUCUUGCGCAAUGGACGAAAGUCUUACGGAGCAACGCCGCGUUAGUGAUGACGGCAUUCGGGUUGUAAAGCUCUGUUAAUCGGGACGCGGUACCGGAAUAGAAAGCCACGGCUAACUACGUGCCAGCAGCCGCGUAAUAC